rnacentral:rRNA from 1 species
UGCAGAAUCCCGUGAACCAUCGAGUCUUUGAACGCAAGUUGCGCCCGAAACCAUUAGGUCGAGGGCACGUCUGCCUGGGUGUCACACAUCGUUGCCCCAACGCCAAAUGCUUCGUGCUAUGCGGCGUGCGGGGUGAAUGUUGGCCUCCCGCGAGCUAAGGCUCACGGUUGGCUUAAAUUUGGGUCCAUGGUAGGGUAUGCCAUGAUGGAUGGUGGUUGAGUAACGCUCGAGACCAAUCAUGGGUAACCUUAUCAUGCUUGGGACCUAUAGACCCGCAUGCGUGGUGUAACCGCGCUCACAAUGAGACCUCAGGUCAGGCGGGGCUACCCGCUGAGUUUAA